AUUGAACGCUGGCGGAAUGCUUUACUCAUGCAAGUCGAACGGCAGCACGGACUUCGGUCUGGUGGCGAGUGGCGAACGGGUGAGUAAUGUAUCGGAACGUGCCCAGUCGUGGUGGAUAACGUAGUGAAAAUUACGCUAAUACCGCAUACGAUCUAUGGAUGAAAGCGGGGGAUCGCAAGACCUCGCGCGAUUGGAGCGGCCGAUAUCAGAUUAGGUAGUUGGUGGGGUGAAGGCCCACCAAGCCAACGAUCUGUAGCUGGUCUGAGAGGACGACAGGCCACACUGAAACUGAGACACGGGCCAGACUCCUACGGGAGGCAGCAGUGGGAAAUUUUGGACAAUGGGCGAAAGCCUAAUCCAGCCAUUCCGCGUGCAGGAUGAACGCCCUCGGGUUGUAAACUGCUUUUGUACAGAACGAAAAGGUUUCUACUAAUACUAGGAGCUCAUGACGGUACAGUAAGAAUAAGCACCGGCUAACUACGUGCAAGCAGCCGCCGUAA
rnacentral:rRNA from 1 species